rnacentral:rRNA from 1 species
UACGUAGGUGGCAAGCGUUGUCCGGAAUUAUUGGGCGUAAAGCGCGCGCAGGCGGUCCUUUAAGUCUGAUGUGAAAGCCCACGGCUCAACCGUGGAAGGUCAUUGGAAACUGGAGGACUUGAGUACAGAAGAGGAAAGCGGAAUUCCACGUGUAGCGGUGAAAUGCGUAGAGAUGUGGAGGAACACCAGUGGCGAAGGCGGCUUCUGGUCUGUAAACUGACGCUGAGGCGCGAAGCGUGGGGAGCAAACAGG